UGGGGAAUAUUGGAUAAUGGAGGAAACUCUGAUCCAGCAAUUCUGUGUGUGUGAAGAAGGUUUUAGGACUGUAAAACACUUUUAGUAGGGAAGAAAAAAAUGACGGUACCUACAGAAGAAGCAACGGCUAAAUACGUGCCAGCAGCCGCGGUAAUACGUAUGUUGCGAGCGUUAUCCGUAAUUAUUGGGCUUAAAGGGCAUCUAGGCGGUAAGACAAGUUGAAGGUGAAAAACUGUGGCUCAACCAUAGGCUUGCCUACAAAACUGUUGAACUAGAGUACUGGAAAGGUGGGUGGAACUACACGAGUAGAGGUGAAAUUCGUAGAUAUGUGUAGGAAUGCCGAUGGUGGAGAUAACUCACUGGACAGAAACUGACGCUGAAGUGCGAAAGCUAGGGGAGCAAACAGG
rnacentral:rRNA from 1 species